rnacentral:rRNA from 1 species
CUCUUUCUCGAUUCAGUGGAUGGUGGUGCAUGGCCGUUCUUAGUUGGUGGAGUGAUCUGUCUGGUUAAUUCCGAUAACGAACGAGACUCUCCCCUGCUAACUAGUCGGUUGGAUCUUGAUCAGUGGGUUGAGUGCCGAGUAACUCUCGCUGUGCGUGGUGUGCGUCUCGUUCCUCACGGUUCGUUGCGUGCUCAUGUGUGGCGUUGGAUGCCUUGGAUCACACUGCACCCCAAGUCCGCCGCUUUGCUAUAACUCUUCUUAGAGGGAUUCACGGCACUGAAGCCGUAAGAGACUGAGAGCAAUAACAGGUCUGUGAUGCCCUUAGAUGCUCUGGGCCGCACGCGCGCUACAAUGCCGGGCACAGCAGGUGUUUCUCCUGCUCCGACAGGAGCGGGUAACCCUCUGAAAGCCAGUGUUCUUGCAAGUGCUUCCUCCCUCGUGGAGUUGCACAGAGGCGUGCUUGGGCCUGGGACUUGCAAUUCUUUCCCACCAACGAGGAAUGCCUAGUAGCGGCGGGUCACUGAGCCCGCUGUGACUCAGUCCCUGCCCUUUGUACACACCGCCCGUCGCUACUACCGAUUGGGUGUACCAGUGAGAGCCUUGGACUGGCGUCCGUUGUUGCUCGAAAGAGUGACAAGCGGGUCCGACGGAAAGAGGUCCGAA